rnacentral:rRNA from 1 species
UGCCAGCAGCCGCGGUAAUACGAAGGUCCCGAGCGUUAUUCGGAAUCACUGGGCGUAAAGGGAGCGUAGGCGGCGAGGUAAGUCAGAUGUGAAAGCCCGGAGCUCAACUCCGGAACUGCAUUCGAUACUGCCCUGCUAGAGUAGUGGAGAGGUAAAUGGAAUUUUGGGUGUAGCAGUGAAAUGCGUAGAUAUUCAAAGGAAGACCAAUGGCGAAGGCAAUUUACUGGACACUUACUGACGCUGAGGCUCGAAGGCUAGGGGAGCGAAAGGGAUUAGAUA